GCAUAUCAAUAAGCGGAGGAAAAGAAACUAACAAGGAUUCCCCUAGUAACUGCGAGUGAAGCGGGAAAAGCUCAAAUUUAAAAUCUGGUGGCCUCGCCGCCCGAGUUGUAAUCUGGAGAAGUGCUUUCCGUGCCGGACCGUGUACAAGUCUCUUGGAACAGAGCGUCAUAGAGGGUGAGAAUCCCGUCUUUGACACGGACUGCCGGUGCUUUGUGAUGCGCUCUCGAAGAGUCGAGUUGUUUGGGAAUGCAGCUCAAAAUGGGUGGUAAAUUCCAUCUAAAGCUAAAUAUUGGCGAGAGACCGAUAGCGAACAAGUACCGUGAGGGAAAGAUGAAAAGAACUUUGGAAAGAGAGUUAAACAGUACGUGAAAUUGCUGAAAGGGAAACGCUUGAAGUCAGUCGCGUUGGCCGGGACUCAGCCUUGCUCUCGCUUGGUGUAUUUUCUGGUCGACGGGUCAGCAUCAGUUUUGAUCGCCGGAGAAUGGCCAGGGGAAUGUGGCAUCUUCGGAUGUGUUAUAGCCCUUGGUCGCAUACGGUGGUCGGGACUGAGGAUCUCGGCACCUCGUGCUAAGGAUGCUGGCAUAAUGGCUUUAAACGACCCGUCUUGAAACACGGACCAAGGAGUCUAACAUGCAUGCGAGUGUUUGGGUGGAAAACCCGAGCGCGUAAUGAAAGUGAAAGUUGAGACCCCUGUCGUGGGGGGCAUCGACGCCCGGACCUGACCUUUGGUGACGGCUCUGCGGUAGAGCAUGUAUGUUGGGACCCGAAAGAUGGUGAACUAUGCCUGAAUAGGGUGAAGCCAGAGGAAACUCUGGUGGAGGCUCGUAGCGAUUCUGACGUGCAAAUCGAUCGUCAAAUUUGGGUAUAGGGGCGAAAGACUAAUCGAACCAUCUAGUAGCUGGUUCCUGCCGA
rnacentral:rRNA from 1 species